GUGUCAGCAGCCGCGGUAAGACAGAGGGUGCAAACGUUGUUCGGAAUUACUGGGCGUAAAGCGCGUGUAGGCGGCCUUGCAAGUCGGAUGUGAAAUCCCACGGCUCAACCGUGGAAGUGCAUUCGAAACUGCGAGGCUAGAGUUCUGGAGAGGAAGGUGGAAUGCUUGGUGUAGAGGUGAAAUUCGUAGAUAUCAAGCGGAACACCGGUGGCGAAGGCGGCCUUCUGGACAGUAACUGACGCUGAGACGCGAAAGCGUGGGGAGCAAACAGGAUUAGAAACCCCCGUAGUCC
rnacentral:rRNA from 1 species